ACUACGGCGUGGUCCGCCGCCACAACCGCAUGAUGAAGAACCGCGAGUCCGCCUCCCGCUCGCGCGCCAGGAAGCAGGCCUACGUCAACGAGCUCGAAGUGGAAAUCUCGCAGCUUCAGGAGGAGAAUUCCCGGCUAAAGAAGGAACUCAAGAAGCUACACAAGGUGAUGGCCUCCAAGCAACAAUUCCCCUCAAAGAACAAGCUGCAGAGGAGCUCAACUGCAUCAUUCUGAACAACUCUGCAACCAUUCCCAAAUGUUAGAUAUUUUAAUCAUCACUCGUUCCGAUCGAAGAAGAACUCGCCCAAUGUGAAUGUGAAUGUGAAUGUGAAUAUGAACACGCAGAGCACCUAAAUAUAUAUAUAUAUAUAUAUAUAUAUAUAUGUUUGUAUAAUGAUUAAUGAUUGAAGCCCUGGUCUGGUCCGGAGGAGGAAGAGCUUGUGUGUUUGAAGAUAUGUUGCAGGAAUGGCAACGGCCGGGCCAUGGGAGGCUGCCGAUGACGGUACGUAGCCUGAGAAAAGGCAAGCUGAUAAUGCGUAUAUGGAGUGAUGGGACGUGACGUGACGUAGUUACAUGGAUUCUAGUACUGUUCCUCUUUGUAGGGUUCUUGCUUUGUCUCUCGGUUAUUUAGGCAUUAUGAUCUCUAUAAUUAUAUUAUAAUAUGCUUCGAUGGUCGGAAUAAUUACUUUAUUUCUAUUUAUCAUUUUUAUUGCAGUA